rnacentral:rRNA from 1 species
GACGAACGCUGGCGGCGUGCUUAACACAUGCAAGUCGAACGGAAAGGCCAUGCUUUUGUGGGGUUCUCGAGUGGCGAACGGGUGAGUAACACGUGAGUAACCUGCCCUUGUCUUUGGGAUAACUUCAGGAAACUGGGGCUAAUACAGGAUAGGAGAUACUGCUGCAUGGUGGUGGUUGGAAAGAUUCGGCGGUUGUGGCUGGACUCGAGGCUUAUCAGCUUGUUGGUGGGGUAGUGGCUUACCCAGGCUUUGACGGGUAGCCCACAUGGGAGGGUGACCAGGCACAAGGGUACUGCGGUACGGACCAGACGGCUACCGGAGGCAGUGGUGGGAAAUAUGGCACAAUGGGGCGGAGUCAGAUGCAGAAACGUCGCGAGCGUGAUGACGUGCUUCUGGUUGUGAACCGCUGUCGCCUGAGACGAAGCGUGAGUGACGGUAAUGAGUAAAGAAGCACCGGCUAACUACGUG